CUGGUGGAAGCCCUCAUCUCAUCUGAUGAGAUGAGCCCAGUGAUAACAGCCCAGCAGGGAGUGGAGAUUCGGGUCCAGGGGUAGAGAUGUAGGAAUGAAGGUACAUUCCCAGCAUGGAGAAUGAAGACAGAACUGAAGUGAGAACUCCGAUGCCCAUCUCUAAAGGGUGAAUCAAAAGGGAUCAACAAGCAAAAGAGAAAAAGGGACAACAGAUUUAGACGUGAUAGGAAAAACAGCAGAGCUCAUUCAAGUCCUCAGAAGGGUCUCUCCCUUCUCCUUUGAAGCCUUUCUCACAUACCAAAGCCGUCUUCCAUCUGGCUCUGAAGAGAAGAGAUGUGGCUAACAACGAGAUUUUUGCAGCAAGGGCAGCAACAACACUGUCAUAAUCAUAAAUGAAAGUGGACUUUCUGACAUUAAUCUGAGGCCCCUACCUGGCUUCCACCAGCCCCUGAGAGCUCAGAAAUGUUAACCUAAAGACAGAAAGCCUUGGAGGAGACUGGAUGCUGGACAGCCUUGGAUUCUGAUUCAUUUGAGACUCGGCAUAGAGAUGAGGCCAUGAUCUCCCCCACCCUUUAAACUGCAGAGGAUAAAAAAGGGAUGUAAUAUAAUACUACACCUCAGGGUAUCAGAGUACAGGAAAUAAAAGUGUUUCACUUGGACAAAGGUGAAACUUAUGAACAUAUUAAUGGAAUAAAACAUUUUGUGAGAGCUGUAGGCAGUUGUGAUUGCUCAAGUGCCUUUUCCACAUCAUGGAACUGGGAUUGAGGAGAAGGGUUCAGCCCCCAAGGAGAAGAUCAGAACUGCUUCUGGAAGCAGCAUGAGAGCUUUCACUCUCCUUGAGAAACGAAUAUUAGAGGAGGAAACGGCGGCCCUGGAAAGAGCUUACUGUCCAAGAGGCAGAGGAUGCUGGCGGACACAGAGCUACGAAAGGAUACUCAUGAUGUGGUUUCCACUGGAGUAUAGACAGGUCUACUUUGUUCUGAAGUAUGAAGGCAUCAUCAUGCUUUUCAUCAUACUAAUGGGCAUAAUUUUUUUCUACUGA
rnacentral:lncRNA from 13 species